rnacentral:lncRNA from 1 species
CUGGCUGGCUUGGCUGUUGACCUGAGAGGGAUGCUCAGGUUUGCGCUUGCAAAGACAACAUCAGACUGCACCUGCUGCACUCGGUCAUCCAGACUCUGAAAGACAGAGUGAGAGGACAGAUGGUGGCAUGUGCAGGGCGGAGCCGUUGGACCUGGGUGAUGAAGGGAAAAGCUGUUUCUCUGGUAACUUGAAUAUCGACAUCACAAACUUCAGCAGCAGCUGGAACGAUGGGCUGGCUUUCUGCGCACUUCUUCACACCUAUCUCCCAGCCCACAUACCAUAUCAAGAGCUGAACAGCCAAGAGAAGAAAAGGAACUUCACCUUGGCUUUCCAGGCAGCUGAAAGUGUUGGAAUCAAAUCCACUCUGGACAUCAAUGAAAUGGCACGCACUGAACGGCCGGACUGGCAGAACGUAAUGCUGUAUGUCACAGCCAUCUACAAGUACUUUGAAACCUGAGCACACCGGAUGGCUGCUACCAGCUAGGGACCUCUGCAGUCACCAAGUGACAACACCAUUAGCUAGAACCCCUAAAGCUUUCAGCGACUCUGGGCCUCCCUGCAGGGAGUGUGCCCAGCUCUAGGCCUCUGCAUUGGAACUGGAACUGCAGACCAGGGCUCUUCGACGUGGCUGUCCUCGGGAUCAGAACACAGCACACCGCCGGCCUUCUUCCAGAGACCGUCUAGCUCUAACUAGCCCUGGAGUGUAAAAACACAAAGGCUUGUGCCUGGCUCAUCCUGGGAAAUGGGAUUAAGUUGUGGGAGCCACGGGUCAGUGAAAGCUAAAGCUAUCGAACUUCUUGACUGUCAUCCGUGGGAUUCCCAGUGCUGGGACAGAGCUGGCCUUGGUCCCUUCAUGUGGGCCUGGGUUCUAGGAGUGAAUCAGAGAAGAGGGUCAGUACCCCUUCCGUGCGAGGACCGUCCUAACCACUGCGGUAACUUAGCAGUGUUAAAGGCCAGCGCAGAGGCCCACAGCCAGUUGAGUCUACACGGCCACCAAGCAGAUUUUUGUCAGUCUCAAGAAGCAGGUGGCACACCCAGUAGGUGCUCAGCCUCUAGCCUGUAGCACCAAGGAAAAGACUGGUCACACGGAGUCUCUCAUUAAAGUUGUUGUUUUAUUAUAAGCAAUAUUGGUGAAAUAGCUCCUAUUCUGUUAGUACCAAAGUUAAUUGCUUUAGUAAGCAUAGAAAUAAAAACAUAAUGUGGGCAUUAGCAUGGUGAGAGUGAGGAUUCGUGCAGUAGGGACAAGAGGACGUGCUUUAGGGGGCCAGAGACUCAAGUCACACUGAUAGCUGCCCCAGGGCAGGAGUUCAGACAGUGCCUUAGCCCUGCACCAGGACAGCUGAGCCUACACCUGCAUGGGUGUCCUGCAUGUUGAUGGGGACUCUAGGAGAGGUGGCUCCAUGCUGUGCCUGGGCUAUGGGGCCCACACCAUGAGCCAAGGCCUUAACUCGGUUCUGUUGAUUUCUGCCUGGAAUUGAGCAGCCCCUUUUCAAGAAUAGGAAGCCCUUAUUUCAUGUGCCUGACAACAGAAGCCAUUGUUUGGACAAUGUCAAGACCUGUUGCUUCUGGGAUACACUUGUUUGUCACCUGCAAACACCAUGCAGAGAAUGGCCAUCAAUAGAAAUGGGUUCACAGCCUCAAUAGCAGGAUGGUGGGAAUGUCUCCCAGGAGGCACGCCAGUCCAAACCUGGACUGAGUGGGGUUCUGUAUUCAAACAUGCUCCAGACUGGGAAUUUGUCGUAUCUGUGGAACGUAGAGAAGGAAGCAUUUUGAAAGUACUUAUUAGGAAGUGGGCUGCGUCUGUAUGUGUUGCCAUCAGAUGGUCAGUCCCACCCUGCUUACAUGUCCAAAUCUGGCAGCUCAUGCUGCAGAGUAUUCCAGAAGACCCCUGUUAAUCCACCUGUCCCGGUGCCUCUCUGGUCCUCCUUGGCCUAACUCUGUUCUUGCUCUUGUUCUGCUGAUGAGUUCCUGUCAGGGCCACUGACUGUCCAAGUGAGUCUCCACUGCAUUCCUGAGCUUCCAGCCUCUGCUAUAUCUGCCUUCACUGAGGCCCAUCCACUGUGCACCGAGGUAUUUGAUCUGAGGCCAGGUUUUAUUUAUUAUCAUGAAAAAGGGUUGUCUUGUUAAAGAGACUUUCCUGGGCUUGCAGUUCACAACUUCUGUUCCUCAUGCCAACAUAGAAAUUACCAGAGUUUUCUGAAAAGAGUUGGAGUCAGUCUGCUGCUGCUGUAUCUUCAUAUAUAGAUAACAUUCUGCAAGGCCUGGGACCAGAGGAAACAUUUCUAUUCUGCAAGGCCUGGGGCCAGAGGCAGGGCCUGAUGAUGGGCCGGAGGAGACUCUCGCCCCCCACCACACACACACUUGGUGCCCAUCACAGCCAGGGUCAGGCUGCCCAUGUUUGUGUGAGGGUCCACAAGUGUCCAGCUGUCUCCAGACCGUUGCUUUUUGUCUCCUCCAAUAGCCCCUUAAAGAGCACUGUUGGGCAUGCUCGGAGACAGCCAUGUGCUAUUAAAAGUAGUACUUGGGAGUUGUUAGAAUGACUGUCUCCAGUGCAUGCACGAGGCCCUUGGUUGACCCCCACGACCACAUACACUGAGUGUGAUGCAUACCUGUAAUUCUAGUACUUGGGAAACGGAGGCAGGAGGGUCAUGAGUUCAGUGUUACUGUUGGUACACGGUGUGUUUGAUGCCAGCCCUGGCAUGUGAGAGACCCUGUCCCCUAAGAAGGUGAUACUUGGAGGUUCUCUCAUUCUAGGGCUGCUUCCUGGGAAGCUCCAAGAUGUAAGCUCGCCUCUCUUUCCUAAAGCACAAGCUUCACUACAAAAGGGCCAGUUACCUUUCUACUGUUGUCAGUCAUGGCUUCUGCUGAUGAAUGAUACUUUGUCGUUUUGUUCUAGUAAAUACUCUUGAAUGUA